rnacentral:rRNA from 1 species
UACGUAGGGGGCAAGCGUUGUCCGGAAUUACUGGGCGUAAAGCGCGUGUAGGUGGUUGUCGUAGUCAGGCGUGAAAGCCUUGAGCUCAACUCAAGAAAUGCGCUUGAUACUGGGCAGCUAGAGGACCGGAGAGGAUAGUGGAAUUCCCAGUGUAGUGGUGAAAUACGUAGAGAUUGGGAAGAACACCAGUGGCGAAGGCGGCUAUCUGGACGGUUUCUGACACUAAGACUCGAAAGCGUGGGGAGCAAACAGG